UUCAUCUGCCACCAUCUGGUGAUUUUAAUUUUGAUCGCCUGGUCAAGGUGUUGUCUGACUUCUCUGCUGUAUAGUUGGAUUUUUUUCCCUUGCAACUAACAGAUAAUCUGGGGGAGGAAGAAGCUUUAGAGCUAAGCAAACAUUCUGCUCUUCACUAUAAAGCAAAGAUCAGCAAUGUGGAAAAAUGGACUGAACUGAAGGGAAAAGGUGGCAGAAAAGUCAGCUAAGAGCCUAUUGCCGUAAACCAGAUAGUCUGGGAGCAUCUGAGCAGAAGAGCCGCUGAAACCAUGGAAAUCAACUGGACAUUAUCCUUCAGCCUCCAGAGUGUCAUUAUCAUUAAAUCUAUCCUUGGCCUUCUCCAGCAGAGUGGUCUGUCUCUUUUCCACAUUACCCGCAGAGUUGCUAUGAUGAUCUGCAACAGGGAAUGAACCAUGCCCAGACCACAAGGAAGGGAGGAGGCAUGCCAUGUGUGAGUAGGAGAAUUGUUGGUUUCCAGAGGAGGCUUCAUGGAAGAAGAAGGAUCUGAGCCAGGUAUAGAGAGCAGCAGGAAGGACUUUCCAGGUACAGGAGAGCUGGCACAAAGCCAGAGAGUUGUGGAGCAAGAGCUGUAUAGGCAGUGUGCAAUUCAGAUGGAGCAAAUGGUAGUACCAGUUUGUUAAUAUGGACAGUAAGCCUAAAAAGACGGAUUGAGACAUGAUAGUGGAAAACCAAUCAACAGUUCUCUAUCACUUUGUUUGUUUGAUGAAAUACAUAUGACUUUUUGUAUUUAUCAGCACAACACAUUGUACUAAGCAUGUGAAGACUUUGAUACCACCUCUUAACUCAUCUUCUACCUGGCAAAACUCACAUUUUCAGGAAAUUAAAGCAAUCAGUGCCAUAAUCUUUUUUGUUGUGGUAUUGACAAAAAAACUUAACAAGCAUGCAUAUGAGCAAAUGAACUACUUAAAGUAUUAAAACAUUGACAUAUAUGAGGAAAACAAAGUAAAAAUAAGUUUUUCACAAUUAAAUUUUAUCUUUGACAAUGAGUUUUAGGUUUUUCUGUUAGGUGUCUAUUCUACUUCUACAAAAGCAAGAAUAUUCUCUGAAAGAACAUGCAUAAAUAAAUCCUGUUAUAUUAUAUUGUUAAAUAAUAAAAGAAGUGACCAGUUCUGACAUGUCAUUAAUAUGUGCAUGUCACUGCAUCAUUGCUUUGCAUUUACUGUAAUCACAGAUUUCUUGGUGCCAUGAAUGUUUCUCAUAGUAUUCUUAUUCAUGUAAAAUGAAUAAUGUAAAAUGUAAAGUGAUAUA